CUUUUAUAAGAGUGAGGGGAACAAUGCAAUAGAUCUCGAUGUGACAACUGACAAGUGCCAACGACCACUUUAUUUCCCUGCUCAUAAACUUUGGCUGUGGCUUUUCCUUCCACCCACUUCCCUCAUUCUCAUCAAUUCCAGUUCAUUGGUUCUCUUUUUGGUCCAUUAUAUUUUGAUCUCAAUCCAUUACAAAGUAGACAACCUAAUAUCCGUUGCUUUCCAGACGACUUAAAGAUCCACAAAGCACCAAGUAUUUCAAUGAUGAGGACCUGCCACUCACAAAGGCCAUAUUAAGCUGCAUUGAAGAUGCAUCUUGUUCAUGCUCAAAACUAUGGAGCUGCAUGUAAUGCAAUUAUCAACUAGUGUUUCACUUCUUAUUCAUCUUGGCAUUGCUUCUUCCAGGCUGAGGGCACUGUCUUAUGCUGAACAAGUUGUGAAGCUGAUGGAUAGUUUGGUCAUGGCAGGGAAGGCCACAGUUGAAAUGAAUAAGGAGCUGAACACCAGAAAAUGGGAGCACCCUUGUUGCACAAAACUGUUAUUUUCACAGAUAUGUUACUUUGACACAGCACAGACCUCAUUGAUGCAUGGCUUUAAGCUCCUCAAAGAUGAUGGUCAUAUGUAUAAUCAAAUUAAUGCACCCUCUUUGUCAGGGACAAAGAUCUUGAACCAUCAAGUGACUUGUUGCUGCUUCCUACAAAAAUGUACUUCAGUGAGGUCCUGAGUUCUUGUACACUGCUGAAGAGAGUUCCCCUUUGAUACUUCAAAAUUUACACUAUUUUAAGCAAAUGCUGUUAUGGCAUAAGUAUGAGAUCCUGAGUUAUUGUAUUACUGAAGAGAGUUCCCCUUGGAUAUACUUCAAAAUUUCACCACUAUUUUGAUCAUUUCCUGUUAUAGCGUAUAAGAUCUGAGUUCUUGUACUGCUGAAGAGAGUUCCCCUUGGCAACUUCAAAAAUUUGACACUAUUUUAAUCAUUUAAUUUACUGAUUACAGCUUAUGUCUCUUUAUUGCAUUCCAUCAAUGUAAUAAUGCCGAUCGAUGAGUUUUAGCUUUGCAGAAGAAUGUUAUAAAUUGAAGUUUAUGUGCUUGUAAUGUGAGAGAUUAUUAAGAUGUUGUGAGAAAGUUUGAUGAACGUUGAAAUUCUUGCUUGUGUUUUAGUUAUAUAAUAUUAUGAGUCAUGUAAUUUCUGUA